rnacentral:misc_RNA from 1 species
GAAUGCUCCAGUGAUGUUAACCAACAACUGCAACCGGUCUUCUGCCAUGCCUUGUUGUUUCAGUUCCAGAGGUAUAUCGACAUAGUAGUUGAUAUCCUUGAAAGUCAUGGAAAGUGGCUGAAAAGGUAGAACGAGGCCUCUAUUCUUGAAACUUUGUCUAGUCAGCGAGCCAGAAUGCUUUAAAUACUCUUGUAGCUGAAUGACAGUAGGUUCAUCUUUCUUAGUCCUGCCUCUAUCUUGAAGAUCUUCCUUAGAAACCACAGCUUGAUGCUUGACAAGAGGGUCGAGGUAGGCCAGGAAGAAUGUGAAUAACAUGUUGAAUAGAAUCGUAUAUCCAAGCAAAGCACCGACACCAAUCCAGUACCAACAGCUCUGGGGGAAUAAACUGCGUGACUUCAAUAAAGCUUCACCUAGUCGCAAAUCAGAGUUCUUGUUUUCUCCCCUGAUGUAUGCUCAAGAUGCAGCUUCGGUUAAUGAAUUUCUU